AUUCGAUUAAUUCGAAGUAAAUGCAUCAUCGWCUAUGUCGAAUAAWGUUCUAGGUAGAGUUAUGAUANUGACAUUUUCUAUCUAUGUGUCUUGACCAAWUCACGUSMCWGCAGUCGCGGUAAUACGUGGAAGACUAGUGUUAUUCAUCUUUAAUAGGUUUAAAGGGUACUUAGACGGUAAAUUUAGCCCAGAUAAAAACAAAGGGUACUAAUUAUACUAGAGUUUUAUAAGAGGAGGGUGUGUACUAGUGGUGUAGAGAUGAAAUUCAGUCAUACCAUUAUGACAGGCAACGGCGAAAGCAACCUUUAGAUAAAAACUGACGUUAAAGGACGAAGGCUUUGCGUCACCAACAGGAUUAGAUACCCAAGCAGUCUUAGCAGACAAUUAUGAAUGCCAUAGGUAAGAAGAAAGUACAUUUAUUUUUUUGGCGUGAUUUAUGUAAAAAAUAAAUAAAAAAAUAAAGAGGAUGUCAUAUUAUCUAUAAAAGAUGAUGUUUUUUUUUGUCUAUAAAUGAAAGUGUAAGCAUUCCACCUCAAGAGUAAUGUGGCAACGCAGAAACUGAAAUCAUUAGACCGUUUCUGAAACCAGUAGUGAAGUAUGUUGUUUAAUUAGAUGGUCCGCAAAAAACCUUACCACAAUUUGUAUAUUAUUAGCUUAAUACAGGAGUUGCACGGCUGUCUUCAGUUAAUGUCGUGAGAUUUUGGUUAGUUCCAUUAAAUUAACGUCAACCCUUACUUUAUUUAUAUUAUAAAGUAGUUCCCCGCUAUAUNGGAUAUGAUAAGAGGGAUAAGACAGUCAUCAUGCCCUGAAUAU
rnacentral:rRNA from 1 species